GGCUUAGAGUUUGAUCCUGGCUCAGGGCGAACGCUGGCGGCGUGCUUAACACAUGCAAGUCUACGAGAAAGAGGUAGCAAUAUCUUGAUUAAAGUGGCGCACGGGUGAGUAACACGUAAGCAAUCUACCUUUAGGUUUGGAAUAACUCCGAGAAAUCGGGGCUAAUACCGAAUAAUGCAGCGGCACCACAUGGUGAUGUUGUUAAAGUUCUUGUAACGCCUAUAGAUGAGCUUGCGUCUGAUUAGCUAGUUGGUGAGGUAACGGCCCACCAAGGCUACGAUCAGUAGCUGGUCUGAGAGGAUGAUCAGCCACACUGGAACUGAGACACGGUCCACGACUCCUACGGGAGGCAGCAGUGAGGAAUAUUGGGCAAUGUCCGAAAGGGUGACCCAGCAACGCCGCGUGGAGGAUGAAUGUCGUAAGAUUGUAAACUCCUGUUAGAGGGGAAGAAC
rnacentral:rRNA from 1 species